CAGCCGCCACGGGAAUACGAAGGGGGCUAGCGUUGUUCGGAAUCACUGGGCGUAAAGGGUGCGUAGGCGGAUUCUUAAGUCAGGGGUGAAAUCCCGAGGCUCAACCUCGGAACUGCCUUUGAUACUGGGGAUCUUGAGUCCGGAAGAGGUGAGUGGAACUGCGAGUGUAGAGGUGAAAUUCGUAGAUAUUCGCAAGAACACCAGUGGCGAAGGCGGCUCACUGGUCCGGAACUGUCGCUGAGGCGCGAAAGCGUGGGGAGCAAACAGGAUUAGAUACCCCGGUAGUCCCUGUCUCUUAUAC
rnacentral:rRNA from 1 species